CCUCGAUGCUAUUGUCCUUUGGCCGACCACAGUAACAGACGUCUCCUACAACUCGUGAUUUACUUGGGCAUGUACGAUCAGUCGAGGAAUUAAGCAAUAUCAAACUCGAUUUCUUCUAUGAAAAAGAAAUCCAUCGAAAUUUGAGAAAGAGACAUUAUAUUGAUCAUAACUGCUAGAAAUUCGAUCAAAAACGACACACGAGAAGAUGGGUUUCAAAAUAAACUUGUUAUUCAUGCUUGUCCUUAGCAUGUUCAGCAUGGGAUAUACUAUAAGACACUUGCAUUACUAUGAAAGAUACAAUAUUACCCGUGGACAUGGCCGUUUUAUUUUAUUUCCGCACAGGCCAUCGUUGAGGGACGAGAUACGUUUCGGAAAUCUCAAAAACUGGUCUCACUUUACUGAAUAGGGAUAGCGGAAAAAAUAGAAUUAAUUUUAAAAAUUAUCAAUGCAUGAAAACAUGCUGUCAAUAAUACUCUAUAUAUCUUAACAAUGAAGAAUAUUUUAAAUUCAUUCAAGAAUAUAAAAUUCUUGAAAAAAAAUUUUUUAGAAUUUCCUACAUGUUUAUAUGAAUUUAUAAUAAUUUAAUAUUGAAUUUAAAUUGAAAUACUAAAUGAAAGACUCUGCGAAGUCUUUAUAAAAUACUUGCAAAAGUGUUUUAUUUUUACGAUAAAUGACUGUAAUAAAAUGAAGUGUACGGAUAUGUAUAUGAAAUAUGUAGGAAUAUAUAUGUAAAUAAAAGAAAGUACUCUUUAA